UACGUAGGGUGCAAGCGUUAUUCGGAAUUACUGGGCGUAAAGAGCGCGCAGGCGGUCGUUCAAGUCGCGUGUGAAAGCCCCCGGCUCAACUGGGGAGGGUCAUUCGAUACUGCUCGGCUCGAAGACAGGAGAGGGAAGUGGAAUUCCCGGUGUAGUGGUGAAAUGCGUAGAUAUCGGGAGGAACACCAGUGGCGAAGGCGACUUUCUGGCCUGUUCUUGACGCUGAGGCGCGAAAGCUAGGGGAGCAAACGGG
rnacentral:rRNA from 1 species